CAAUCAUGUGCCGUGCAUUUUCCAGAUCCCAAUGGCCAAACAAAGGAAAGUGAUGGCUGUUGCAAACAUGGAUGAAACACAAAAGAAGCGCAAGGCACCAGCGGUGGCGUAGUGGUGGUGGGCGGAGGAGAAGUUGUUCUCUGAAGGAGGGCAUUAGCAGCAUGCUCAACACCCACGUCUCCAUCCUCGACCUCUCUCUCAGGAAAUUAGAAUUUUGCAAAUCCGGGACAAGCUGGAGCAUGGCAUGAUCAAACUCAUGAUGCAAUUAAUGCGGCUUAUGGCAGCGCAUUACAUGAUUUUCUGCUGAAGGUUGUAUAAUAGCAAGGACACAACCGGAGUAAGGUAUAACCCAGUGGA